rnacentral:rRNA from 1 species
GACGAACGCUGGCGGCGUGCUUAACACAUGCAAGUCGAACGAAGUGGCGAACGGGUGAGUAAUACGUGGGUAACCUGCCCUCCUUUUUGGGAUAAGCCUUGGAAACGGGGUCUAAUACCGAAUAAAGGGGGAUGGGCUCGCGGCCUAUCAGCUGGUUGGGGGGGUGAUGGCCUACCAAGGCGGUGACGUGUAGCCGGCCUGAGAGGGUGACCGGCCACAUUGGGACUGAGAUACGGCCCAGACUCCUACGGGAGGCAGCAGUGGGGGAUAUUGCACAAUGGGCGCAAGCCUGAUGCAGCCAUGCCGCGUGUAUGAAGAAGGCCGUCGGGUUGUAAAGUACCACGGAAAGGGAGUCGUUACCGACAGAAUAAGCACCGGCUAACUCUGUGCCAGCAGCCGCGGUAAUAC